rnacentral:misc_RNA from 1 species
CCUUGGCGGGGGUCAGCACAGC